CAGCCGCCACGGUAAUACGAGGGGGGCAAGCGUUGUUCGGAAUUAUUGGGCGUAAAGGGCGCGUAGGCGGUCUAACAAGUCUUAUGUGAAAUCUCUGGGCUCAACCCAGGGUCUGCAUGGGAAACUGUCGGGCUUGAGUAUGGGAGAGGUGAGUGGAAUUUCCGGUGUAGCGGUGAAAUGCGUAGAUAUCGGAAGGAACACCUGUGGCGAAAGCGGCUCACUGGACCAUAACUGACGCUGAGGCGCGAAAGCUAGGGGAGCAAAUGGGAUUAGAUACCCCGGUAGUCCCUGUCUCUUAUAA
rnacentral:rRNA from 1 species